UUGACUUCAAGGAAUCGCAAAAGAAAUAUUCAGUACAAUAAGAGUGUCCCUGUUAACCGAAAGUAAGUUAAAAAGAAUUAUCAAUAAAUACUAUGCUAACUUGGUUAAGACCAAAUCGAAAGGGACAGAAGGAGAGGAGAAGAGAGUGGGAAGAGAAGUACGGCUCUCAGGCUAACCACCUUGUCAGGCGAACCAGUAACAGCGGAGACCAGGUGCAAACACAACAAGCUUUAGAAAAGAGCUGCUUGCACCCUUCUUGGAUGGCAAAGCGAAGCCAAAAUUCUAUUUUAAAAAAUAUAAAGGAUAUUCCCU